ACAGUCAUGGCCGAGUGGCUGAGGCGAUGGACUACAAAUCCAGUGGGGUCUCCCCGCACUGGUUCGAAUCCUGUCGACUGCG
rfam:Ixodes scapularis strain Wikel colony gcontig_1108379843530, whole genome shotgun sequence.